GUUGGGAUUUCUGAGUUCCUGCCUUAUUCUGGCUUCCAGUGACACUAUCGCUUUGCACCGUGAGUCGCUGUCCAUCGGUUGCAAUACGCGGGGAUGCUCGACGGAUUCAUACCUCAUAUCUCUUUCGGCGAUGCCGGGCGACCUCUGAACUUAGCCCCUGCGAGACCAAGAGUUCUGCAGUGUGAUUGCUGUGAGGCCAAUAUCUGCGGCAGUAAUGUUGCGCUUCGUGUCCGCCGGGCCAUUGACGUUGCGGAAGAAGAUCUCAGGCAUACUAAGCGUGCUAUUUCGGCUGCAAAGAAGGAAGAAAGCGAUGCGAUUCGCCGCGCUCUAGAAGCGGGUGCCGUGGCUAGUGAAGUCGAGCAGGCGACAGCUGAGGUGAUUGAUGACGUCGUUACCAGGGUUUUGAUAGCGACAACGCACACAGAAAAGAUUAUCCGGGAAGCAAAAGUUGCGGAGCAACGUAUGUUUAGCCGCAGCAACACAACUGGGCAUAUCUGAGGACGUUAUUAUACUCUCGUCGGACGAUGACAUGUGACUUGUCUACAUUUAUGUUCAAAUCGUUGUUUGAACUCUUUGUAAUCUAUAGUUCGAUCC